GAUGAAGAACGCAGCGAAAUGCGAUACGUAAUGUGAAUUGCAGAAUUCAGUGAAUCAUCGAAUCUUUGAACGCACAUUGCGCCCGUCAGUAUUCUGGCGGGCAUGCCUGUUCGAGCGUCAUUACGCCCCUCAAGUCCCCUGUGGACUUGGUGUUGGGGAUCGGCGAGGCUGGUUUUCCAGCACAGCCGUCCCUUAAAUUAAUUGGCGGUCUCGCCGUGGCCCUCCUCUGCGCAGUAGUAAAACACUCGCAACAGGAGCCCGGCGCGGUCCACUGCCGUAAAACCCCCCAACUUUUUAUAGUUGACCUCGAAUCAGGUAGGACUACCCGCUGAACUUAAGCAUAUCAAAAGCGGAGGA
rnacentral:misc_RNA from 1 species